GAGGAGGAUGAUCCGCCACACUGGGACUGAGACACGGCCCAGACUCCUACGGGAGGCAGCAGUGGGAAUUUUGGACAAUGGGCGCAAGCCUGAUCCAGCCAUGCCGCGUGAGUGAAGAAGGCCUUCGGGGUUGUAAAGCUCUUUCGGCCGGGAAGAAAUCGUGGUCUCUAACAUAGGCCAUGGAUGACGGUACCGGACUAAGAAGCACCGGCUAACUACGUGCCAGCAGCCGCGGUAAUACGUAGGGUGCGAGCGUUAAUCGGAAUUACUGGGCGUAAAGCGUGCGCAGGCGGUUUUGUAAGACAGAUGUGAAAUCCCCGGGCUUAACCUGGGAACUGCGUUUGUGACUGCAAGGCUAGAGUACGGCAGAGGGGGGUGGAAUUCCUGGUGUAGCAGUGAAAUGCGUAGAGAUCAGGAGGAACACCGAUGGCGAAGGCAGCCCCCUGGGCCUGUACUGACGCUCAUGCACGAAAGCGUGG
rnacentral:rRNA from 1 species